rnacentral:rRNA from 1 species
GAGGGAUCAUUACAGAGUUGCAAAACUCCCAAACCAUCGUGAACGUUACCUACAUCGUUGCUUCGGCGGGUGGCGGGCUUCGGCCCUGCCCUCGGCCCCUCUCGGGGGCCCGCCGGAGGUACACCAAACUCUUGACUUUACAUGGCCUCUCUGAGUCUUCUGUACUGAAUAAGUCAAAACUUUCAACAACGGAUCUCUUGGUUCUGGCAUCGAUGAAGAACGCAGCGAAAUGCGAUAAGUAAUGUGAAUUGCAGAAUUCAGUGAAUCAUCGAAUCUUUGAACGCACAUUGCGCCCGCCAGUAUUCUGGCGGGCAUGCCUGUCCGAGCGUCAUUUCAACCAUCAAGCCCCCGGCUUGUGUUGGGGACCUGCGGCACACCCGCAGGCCCUGAAAACCAGUGGCGGGCUCGCUGUCCACACCGAGCGUAGUAGCAUAUCUUUGUCUCGCUCAGGGCGUGCGGCGGGUUCCGGCCGUGAAACCCACCUUCUCGAAGGUACCCAAAGGUUGACCUCGGAUCAGGUAGGAAGACCCGCUGAACUUAAG